rnacentral:lncRNA from 1 species
UAGGCCUGUUUCUGACCCAGAUCCAGGGAAUGUUCCACAGGAACAAACUGGCUCCCCUGAAGACUGCUCCCAGAUUCCAGUCCAACUGUUCUUUUUUCUGGCCUUUCCUUCUCUGUACGGAUCCCUCAACAGGUGACAUGCGGUUGACCUAGGGGAAAAGCGCAUGUUCUGGUGACCUGACCUCCUAGCCAUUGGGCUACAUGUCAGUCUUGCCAUGCAUAAUAUCUGUCAUCAUUUUGGUGGGUUGAAAAUGUAUGAGGGGGGCUUGGCUGGGGGGGCAAGGCAUCAGGGGGUCAAGUUCCAAAUGAAGAAAUAAGAGCUCUGAGGUUGAGAGAGAUUGAGAAGUCAUCUCAGUGUUCAGAGUUCAGACCCAUAGUAUCCACAAGAAAUAGGAUUCAUUAAGAAGGGUAGACAAGCUUGUGUGGGAAAGCCAACUUGUGGAGUGGGGACAGUAUUAACUUGCCUUUGCCUUUAGGGCGAAUGCAUUUAUUUGUCUCACAUAAAUCAGAGGAUGACAGAGAACCCAUGGGAGUUAUUAGAAACAAGAAAGAACAAGAAUGUGAGAAUAAAAAGGAAGAUGAAAGGGGUGGGUAAGGCGUUAGGAGGGUCUCUGUCGCACAUUAGGGAAUUCUGGCCUGUUUCAGAGCCAGGAUCGUCUAUUCUGGGGUACUCAAAGGAUGCUGGGGAUUUGAGACACCCUAGGAACAAGUAUGAUUUUAGAUCAACCUAGAUUAGGCUCAAGUGAUCCCAAGGGUUCUUGGUCUUCCCUCUCAGGGUCAGAGACUCUGUCUACACUCCUUAAAUCCCAGGACUGGUUGCUUCUAACUCAUUUUGACACACACAUGAAGAGCACGUACCAGCCUAGAGGUUAUUUGCUAUUAAUAUGGUGGAUUAGAGAAUUUUAAGAAAAAGAAAGGCUAAAAUCAAACUCUAUCCAAUGGCUGGAUACUAUCCCAAGUUUAGUUUAUUAGAAGUGGAAAACCAGCAAGUUUGAGGAAGAGCUUGCAAAAUAUUCAUAGUAAAAAUCACUGCCUUCAGUUGCAGUGAAUUUUAAUAAUUGAGACUCAUUAUGUUUGACCCAUAAAGAAUAACCUUGAUGGUUAUUUGUUAUGUAUUCAGUUUUGUCUGCCUUAGCUUAAGCUUAAAUAUUAAUGGAAAAAAGAAAACCUAGAAAAUCCCUCAAGCUGCACUGUAGGAGUCCAAAGCUUUUUAGCUGGUGGCAAUGAAUAUAAUCAUCAUUUCUGUGCUAAUUUUUAAAGACAGCAACAAACACUGAAGCAAAUAAUUUAAAGAAUGCUGGAUAGACUAUUUGACAAUUUGCAUAUGCAAAACAUACAGCUUAGAGUCUCCUUUCUAGGAUAAACAUAUUUAAGAAAUCCCUCCCCAUCUAUAAAAGAUGGGGAGGGAUUGCUUUGUUGUGUUAAGGGAGGAAGAAGUGUGGUGGUAAUGAUAACUGGUUACGAAGCUGCUGAGAGCUCUCCUCAAUCUGGUUUGCCUUCGUGAUAAUAUCACACAGUAGUUAACACAAUCUUCAUCAACAGAUUUUCUAAGUUUAAAUAUUAGCUCUGCCAAUUACUAACUGUGUGUGUGACUCUGAGCAAGUUAAACUUUAUGUGUCUCCACUGCUACUCCAUGGGAAUAAACCUGGUAGCCACAUGUGGGUUUGUUGUGACAAUUAAAAGGCAUAAACUUUGACCAUGUGCUUAGGAGAUAGUAAAUGUUCACUCCCUGUUAGCUAUUAGUGUUUGGUCCUUCCAGGGAUGGUGAAAGGGCAUUUCCUUAGAUAUUACUGGUGCCACAAAGAAUGGCAUAUACUUCUGAAAAUAAUUAACUUUAAAAAAGAAAAUCAUUUUUGAAAUCUGAAGUUACUCCCAAACAUUUAACAAGUAGUAAUUAAGCAGAUACUUUGAGAUUAUCAUAGGGAAUCGGUGAUGUUAUUAAUACCCAGGAGUUUUCAAAGCAUUUGAGGAUACGUAAUUAAUUCAUCAAAUAUUUAUUGAGUGCCAAUUAAUGGCAAGGAGAUAUCAAUUGAUUUGUGGACUAUUUUAUUUAACACCGCUCUCUUCUUGACCCUGUAACUCAGAUUCUUCAAGCAAAUCAUAACUUUGUAAAUGAGUAAGCUAACAUGUAAUUGCAAUAUAAUAUGAUCAAUGCAAUAAUAGAGUUGUGUUGGAGGCAUAGUGAUGAUACAAAGUGAAAGGAACAAUUUAUUUCAUUACGUUGGAUUAGGUAACACUUUAGCAGAACAGUAGAGUUUUUGAAAAACCCAAGAAAUAACCAGAUUGAUGAAGAAGCAACAUAUGCAGAGACCUAAGGUAAAAAACCUGGUGUAAUGGUAUGCCCAGACUAUAGAAUAUAUGGGAACAGUGAGGGGAGAGGAAGCUUUUAAAAAAACAAGAAAGAAAAAGAGGCUAGAGAAUCUUUUAAACUCAGUAUAGGCCACAGACAGUCUGCUUUGGUUAUGGAGUACGAAAUAAUAUCAAAACUGAAUUUUAGACAGAUUGCAAAGAGAACAUACACCAAUUCAAAUUCCAGACCUAUAAACAACAUUGGAUUAAUUUCAAAAGUAAAUGUGGAAUUUCCUCAUGGCUCAGCAGAUUAAGGAUCCUGCAGUGUCACUGGUGUGGGCAUGGCCCCCCCAAAAAAAAAUGUGUCUAAAGUGACCCAGUGAAGGUCACAGGCAAAAAAUAAAUAAAUAAAUUAAAAGCAGGGGAGGAGGCAGUUCAGCUAUUGACAGAACCAGGAUCUGAUCAGCAAAGUAAAGUGUGAUGAAAUCAAGAAGUAAGUUCAUGCAGGAACUCUGACCUCGAACUCACUAGAAAAAGAUUCAUUGUAUUUUUCAUCCUUUAAUUCUCUUCUUCUUGUUAUCUGUCCUCUUCUGUGCCAGUUUUCUAAUCUGGCUUUGCAGUUUGCCUACACAGGAGACGUUAUUAUAACAAUGAGAAGAUCCUAUGCAUUGGCUAUUUAUUAUGUGCAGCCAUAUAAGUAGUUUCUGCACUUCUCAUGUAAUACCCACAGCAAAACUCAUGAUAUUACCUUUGCCAUCUUGAUUUUAUAUGGAAGGACACUGAAGUUUAAAGGGCUAAGUGAUUUGUCCAAGCCACAUAGUUAAUGAGUGACUUAAUUUGGAUGAGCAUUCAAGUUUUUUGGAUUUCAGCAUAGCUUGUGAAUCAUAUGCUAUACACUUACUUAAAGAUGCUCUUAGCUUAAUACUUUUGAUCUUGGAAAGUCCAUGAAGCCUUUGUAGAGAGGGAGCAUUAUGGGUGAAUGAACACCUCUCUAAUCAAACCAGACAAAUGAAAAAUCCAAUGAAUGAAAAAAGGACAAAAAUCAUACCUUUCAUUAAGUAUCCAUGUGGCUUAUAAUCUCUAAGCCAUGUCAAGUGACCAAUGUUUCCUUAGGUCCAGAGAUCCCUAAAUAAGGACUGGGAAGAGUAGAACAAGGUAUUCAUGAUGGGAAAUUAGUCAGAAGCAAUGGACGAAGAUGCUGAAAUCAUGGCAGCACCAUGGACUAAACAUUUUGUAGGGUCAUUUUGCUUAGUACCUCUUACGCUUAGUGCCUCUUUUAGCCAGCCAAAUAACAAAGAUGGUAUUAUUAUUUUAUAAACACUGGGCUUCCAGGACUUCAAAAUAAGACCCUGCAUGAUUUCACCAAUUUCAGAAACAUUGUAAAUAUAAUUUCAAAAAUAAGCAGUUCUCUAAUUUUUAAAAUAUUUCCCCUGCUUUAACCUAUCUUUUUUUUUGGGGGGGGGUAAAAUUCCAGAUCUGAGAACAGAGUAGAAUAUCAACUAAUCAAAUACAUGUAGAGAAGUGCUUUCAAUUUUCCCUCUAGAAGGAAAAAAUCCUCUUUUUUCCUGCUGUAUCGAACACUUAGUCUUCUAUUUUUUAUCUACUACAGUUAUACAGACAAAACAAAACAAACAAAUAUUUAAAUUAAAUUAAAAUAUUUUGGCAGAUGAUGACUGAAUUGGGACAUUCAGGACUAAUUUUUGCUACACAUUCUGAUUCUAUUCUGUACAAUACAUGGUAGGUAACCUCCGUUUGAAUGUUCUGUGAUGGUUUCAUAUUCACAUCAGAGCCAGAACUAAAGCUAUUAAGUGUCUCUUCGCAAGUUGUUUAUUCUCCUGACUUGGGACUUGGUUACUUCUGUUAAAGGUACCCCCAUUCUCCCAGUCAGCCAAGCUCAUAAACAUCAGAAUCUUGAGGGACAUAUUUGUUUGUUUGUAUGUUUGUUUCCUCUGUGUAGCUAUCGCAUUCUCUCUACAGACGGUUUACUAUCCAUCUCUAUGUCAAACAAAAGACUUAGCAUAUCCAUAAAUCUAUUUUGAAGCAAGGGAAGCUAGAAGGAAUAAUGAAAAAAAAAAAUACAUAAUGCCUAGUUAACUGCCUGAUGUAGUGUAAGCACUCAACAUAUUUUUGGAAAAAAAAAAAAAAGAAUCACUUAAGCACAACUUUAUUUUUGUUCCUUCAUGUAAAUAUGCUUAAGAAAGUAAUCUUUAUAGAAAAUGAUUUUCCUUGACGUUGCCAUUCCCCCCAUGAGUUUCAAGUACCUCAUGGAUAAUUCUGCUUGGAUACAAAUAAUUGCUGGCGAUUUUCUGGAAGCACCUGAAAUAUCGUGAUGAUAUACACGAAGCCACUUUUGUCCUUAAAUUAUAUAAGCAAUUGCCUCAUUUGGCCCUCUUGAUUUCUGCAGUGUGAGUGUGAACCCUGGCACAGGAUUGGACUUUCAUUUAUUCCAGAUUCUUGACCUCCAGUUUCCUCUGCCUGACCCUGGAUGGUUACAGGGCCAGUUCUGUCUUUGACUUUGGACUCAUAUUCAAAAAGACUGGAUCUGAAAACACAUUAUUUAAUUGAUUUUUUAAAAUUUGUCAUCUUCCUGUCAGAGAAAAAAAAAACCCUGAGAGUUAUUACAGAAUUGAUUGCAAUUUGCAAAUAAUUUCACCAUUAUGUUAGGUAUCUGAGCGACUUUUCAUUCAUAAGCCAAGAAAAGAAAUAUAAAACUAUCUAACUGAAAAAUAAUAGCAGAUUGUAGCUACAGUAAGCUUUGUAAACAUGGAGAAAAAAAAAAUCUCUCACAGGUAGACAAAGCUGCCAUUUCAUGUAAGAAAGAAAAUGGAAUUUGAAGCUUCUUGCAUUUUAAGAUGACUGCAAAAAGUUUCAAUGACCCCAGAAAAAAAACCCCGUCUCUGUGAAGAAGUCUCGUUGCAGAGAAAUUCCACUUAGGACUUCACUUCUGCUUCUCUGGGCGUCUUGCUUCAAUCACUCAGUUUCUCCACAUGUUAAUUCUGUUACCCAAAGAGACAAACUGGGAGUGCUCUUCCUUAGUCACAUC